rnacentral:rRNA from 1 species
UACGGAGGGUUAGCGUUGUUCGGAAUUACUGGGCGUAAAGCGCGCGUAGGCGGACAUUUAAGUCAGAGGUGAAAUUCCAGGGCUCAACCCUGGAACUGCCUUUGAUACUGGGUGCCUUGAGUUCGAGAGAGGUGAGUGGAAUUCCGAGUGUAGAGGUGAAAUUCGUAGAUAUUCGGAGGAACACCAGUGGCGAAGGCGGCUCACUGGCUCGAUACUGACGCUGAGGUGCGAAAGUGUGGGGAGCAAACAGG